rnacentral:rRNA from 1 species
AUUGAACGCUGGCGGCAGGCCUAACACAUGCAAGUCGAACGAGUGGCGGACGGGUGAGUAAUGUCUGGGAAACUGCCCGAUGGAGGGGGAUAACUACUGGAAACGGUAGCUAAUACCGCAUACCAUCGGAUGUGCCCAGAUGGGAUUAGCUAGUGGGUGGGGUAACGGCUCACCUAGGCGACGAUCCUUAGCUGGUCUGAGAGGAUGACCAGCCACACUGGAACUGAGACACGGUCCAGACUCCUACGGGAGGCAGCAGUGGGGAAUAUUGGACAAUGGGGGAAAGCCUGAUGCAGCCAUGCCGCGUGUAUGAUGAAGGCCUUCGGGUUGUAAAGUACUUUUGGCGGGGAAGCGGUACUUGCAGAAUAAGCACCGGCUAACUCCGUGCCAGCAGCCGCGGUAAUUC